GGUGGUGAGGGGGCUGAUGAGGCCGUAGAGACCCCCGAGGGUGAUGCCGAUGGGCCAGCCGAAGAAAAGCAGCAGCAGCAGCCACACCAGGCACCACAAGCACGAACCGGCGUUUGCCAUCCUGCUCUGGAGCAAAUGUGCUCCUCAUUCUCUUCAUCGCUGUCGCUGUCCUGUCCGGGGUGCUCGGGCAUCUUGGCUGCUUCCUGCUUUGCUUCCCGCUCGCUGGCUUCUCCCUUAGACUUCACCACCUUCUCGCUUCCGUCUUGGCUCUCCGUCUCCAUGGCGCUCUGCUCCGGGAUCACAGCCACCAUCUCUUGCUCCUCCUUGGGGCCGGUAGGCGAGCUCUCUGCUGACUCGGCUUGCGACGGAGGCUUGGCGAGUUGCUGCUGCUGCUGUUGAAAAGGAAGAAAAAAAGUUGUUGGAUGGCGGAAGGUGGCUAUUUAUUGCUGCAUUAACAUUUUCCAAAAACUAAAAUAAAAUGGGAGACUUCAUAAUAA